CUACGGGUCGCAGCAGUGAGGAAUAUUGCACAAUGGGGGGAACCCUGAUGCAGCAACGCCGCGUGGAGGAUGACGCAUUUCGGUGUGUAAACUCCUUUUAUAUGUCAAGAAAAUGACGGUAGCAUAUGAAUAAGCACCGGCUAACUCCGUGCCAGCAGCCGCGGUAAUACGGAGGGUGCAAGCGUUACUCGGAAUCACUGGGCGUAAAGGACGCGUAGGCGGGUUGGAAAGUCAGGUGUGAAAUCCUACAGCUUAGCUGUAGAACUGCACUUGAAACUUCUAAUCUAGAGUAUGGGAGGGGGAGAUGGAAUUAGUGGUGUAGGGGUAAAAUCCGUAGAUAUCACUAGGAAUACCUAAAGCGAAGGCGAUCUCCUGGAACAUUACUGACGCUAAGGCGUGAAAGCGUGGGGAGAAAACAGGAUUAGAUACCCGAGUAGUC
rnacentral:rRNA from 1 species